ensembl:snRNA U1 U1 spliceosomal RNA
ACAUUUACCUGGCAGGGGAUAUACCAUGAUCAAAAAGGUGGUUUUCCCAGAGCAAGGCUUAUCCAUUGCACUGCGGAUGUUCUGACCCCUGAGAUUUCCCCAAAUGUAAGAGCCCAGGCCCAGAUGGAUUCUCUGCAGAAUUCUAC